rnacentral:rRNA from 1 species
UGCAGUCGGAGCGAACAGGACGAGGAAGCUUGCUUCUCUGAUGUUAGCGGCGGACGGGUGAGUAACACGUGGGUAACCUACCUAUAAGACUGGGAUAACUUCGGGAAACCGGAGCUAAUACCGGAUAAUAUUUUGAACCGCAUGGUUCAAAAGUGAAAGACGGUCUUGCUGUCACUUAUAGAUGGAUCCGCGCCGCAUUAGCUAGUUGGUAAGGUAACGGCUUACCAAGGCAACGAUGCGUAGCCGACCUGAGAGGGUGAUCGGCCACACUGGAACUGAGACACGGUCCAGACUCCUACGGGAGGCAGCAGUAGGGAAUCUUCCGCAAUGGGCGAAAGCCUGACGGAGCAACGCCGCGUGAGUGAUGAAGGUCUUCGGAUCGUAAAACUCUGUUAUUAGGGAAGAACAUAUGUGUAAGUAACUGUGCACGUCUUGACGGUACCUAAUCAGAAAGCCACGGCUAACUACGUGCCAGCAGCCGCGGUAAUACGUAGGUGGCAAGCGUUAUCCGGAAUUAUUGGGCGUAAAGCGCGCGUAGGCGGUUUUUUAAGUCUGAUGUGAAAGCCCACGGCUCAACCGUGGAGGGUCAUUGGAAACUGGAAAACUUGAGUGCAGAAGAGGAAAGUGGAAUUCCAUGUGUAGCGGUGAAAUGCGCAGAGAUAUGGAGGAACACCAGUGGCGAAGGCGACUUUCUGGUCUGUAACUGACGCUCAUGUGCGAAAGCGUGGGGAUCAAACAGGAUUAAAUACCCUGGUAGUCC